UACGUAGGGGGCAAGCGUUGUCCGGAAUCAUUGGGCGUAAAGAGCGUGUAGGCGGCCCGGUAAGUCCGCUGUGAAAGUCCAGGGCUCAACCCCGGAAUGCCGGUGGAAACUGUCGGGCUAGAGUCCGGAAGAGGCGAGUGGAAUUCCUGGUGUAGCGGUGAAAUGCGCAGAUAUCAGGAGGAACACCAAUGGCGAAGGCAGCUCGCUGGGACGGUACUGACGCUGAGACGCGAAAGCGUGGGGAGCAAACAGG
rnacentral:rRNA from 1 species